GACGAACGCUGGCGGCGUGCUUAACACAUGCAAGUCGAACGGAAAGGCCCUGCUUUUGUGGGGUGCUCGAGUGGCGAACGGGUGAGUAACACGUGAGUAACCUGCCCUUGACUUUGGGAUAACUUCAGGAAACUGGGGCUAAUACCGGAUAGGAGCUCCUGCUGCAUGGUGGGGGUUGGAAAGUUUCGGCGGUUGGGGAUGGACUCGCGGCUUAUCGGCUUGUUGGUGGGGUAGUGGCUUACCAAGGCUUUGACGGGUAGCCGGCCUGGGAGGGUGACCGGCCACAUUAGGACUGAGAUACGGCCCAGACUCCUACGGGAGGCAGCAGUGGGGAAUAUUGCACAAUGGGCGGAAGCCUGAUGCAGCAACGCCGCGUGCGGGAUGACGGCCUUCGGGUUGUGAACCGCUUUCGCCUGUGACGAAGCGUGAGUGACGGUAAUGGGUAAAGAAGCACCGGCUAACUACGUG
rnacentral:rRNA from 1 species